rnacentral:rRNA from 1 species
AUUGAACGCUGGCGGCAGGCCUAACACAUGCAAGUCGAGCGGAUGAAGGGAGCUUGCUCCUGGAUUCAGCGGCGGACGGGUGAGUAAUGCCUAGGAAUCUGCCUGGUAGUGGGGGAUAACGUCCGGAAACGGGCGCUAAUACCGCAUACGUCCUGAGGGAGAAAGUGGGGGAUCUUCGGACCUCACGCUAUCAGAUGAGCCUAGGUCGGAUUAGCUAGUUGGUGGGGUAAAGGCCCACCAAGGCGACGAUCCGUAACUGGUCUGAGAGGAUGAUCAGUCACCCUGGCACUGAGACACGGUCCAGACUCCUACGGGAGGCAGCAGUGGGGAAUAUUGGACGAUGGGCGAAAGCCUGAUCCAGCCAUGCCGCGUGUGUGAAGAAGGUCUUCGGAUUGUAAAGCACUUUAAGUUGGGAGGAAGGGCAGUAAGUUAAUACCUUGCUGUUUUGACGUUACCAACAGAAUAAGCACCGGCUAACUUCGUG